UAAGACAGAGGUGGCAAGCGUUGUUCGGAAUUACUGGGCUUAAAGGGCGCGUAGGCGGUGGGACAAGUCUGAGGUGGAAUUCUAGAGCUUAACUGUAGGAUUGCCUUGGAAACUGUUUCACUUGAGUCGGACAGGGGAAGGCGGAAUUCCUGGUGUAGCGGUGAAAUGCGUAGAUAUCAGGAGGAAGGCCUGUGGCGAAGGCGGCCUUCUGGGUCUUGACUGACGCUGAGGCGCGAAAGCGUGGGGAGCAAACAGGAUUAGAUACCCUGGUAGUCCACGCCCUAAACGGUGGGCACUAGGUGUGGGAUCUGUAAGGGUUCCGUGCCGAAGGGAAACCAUUAAGUGCCCCGCCUGGGGAGUACGGCCGCAAGGUUGAAACUUAAAUGAAUUGACGG
rnacentral:rRNA from 1 species